GACGAACGCUGGCGGCGUGCCUAAUACAUGCAAGUCGAACGCUGAAGGAGGAGCUUGCUUCUCUGGAUGAGUUGCGAACGGGUGAGUAACGCGUAGGUAACCUGCCUGGUAGCGGGGGAUAACUAUUGGAAACGAUAGCUAAUACCGCAUAAUAGUAGAUGUUGCAUGACAUUUGCCUAAAAGGUGCAAUUGCAUCACUACCAGAUGGACCUGCGUUGUAUUAGCUAGUUGGUGGGGUAACGGCUCACCAAGGCGACGAUACAUAGCCGACCUGAGAGGGUGAUCGGCCACACUGGGACUGAGACACGGCCCAGACUCCUACGGGAGGCAGCAGUAGGGAAUCUUCGGCAAUGGACGGAAGUCUGACCGAGCAACGCCGCGUGAGUGAAGAAGGGUUUCGGAUCGUAAAGCUCGGUUGUAAGAGAAGAACGAGUGUGAGAGUGGAAAGUUCACACUGUGACGGUAGCUUACCAGAAAGGGACGGCUAACUACGUG
rnacentral:rRNA from 1 species